UACGUAGGGGGCAAGCGUUAUCCGGAUUUACUGGGUGUAAAGGGAGCGUAGACGGCAGAGCAAGUCUGAAGUGAAAGCCCGCGGCCCAACUGCGGGACUGCUUUGGAAACUGCCCGGCUAGAGUGCUGGAGAGGUAAGCGGGAUUCCUAGUGUAGCGGUGAAAUGCGUAGAUAUUAGGAGGAACACCAGUGGCGAAGGCGGCUUACUGGACAGUAACUGACGUUGAGGCUCGAAAGCGUGGGGAGCAAACAGG
rnacentral:rRNA from 1 species